rnacentral:rRNA from 1 species
GGUUAAGCGACUAAGCGUACACGGUGGAUGCCCUGGCAGUCAGAGGCGAUGAAGGACGUGCUAAUCUGCGAUAAGCGUCGGUAAGGUGAUAUGAACCGUUAUAACCGGCGAUUUCCGAAUGGGGAAACCCAGUGUGAUUCGUCACACUAUCAUUAACUGAAUCCAUAGGUUAAUGAGGCGAACCGGGGGAACUGAAACAUCUAAGUACCCCGAGGAAAAGAAAUCAACCGAGAUUCCCCCAGUAGCGGCGAGCGAACGGGGAGCAGCCCAGAGCCUGAAUCAGUGUGUGUGUUAGUGGAAGCGUCUGGAAAGGCGCGCGAUACAGGGUGACAGCCCCGUACACAAAAAUGCACAUGCUGUGAGCUCGAUGAGUAGGGCGGGACACGUGGUAUCCUGUCUGAAUAUGGGGGGACCAUCCUCCAAGGCUAAAUACUCCUGACUGACCGAUAGUGAACCAGUACCGUGAGGGAAAGGCGAAAAGAACCCCGGCGAGGGGAGUGAAAAAGAACCUGAAACCGUGUACGUACAAGCAGUGGGAGCACGCUUAGGCGUGUGACUGCGUACCUUUUGUAUAAUGGGUCAGCGACUUAUAUUCUGUAGCAAGGUUAACCGAAUAGGGGAGCCGAAGGGAAACCGAGUCUUAACUGGGCGUUAAGUUGCAGGGUAUAGACCCGAAACCCGGUGAUCUAGCCAUGGGCAGGUUGAAGGUUGGGUAACACUAACUGGAGGACCGAACCGACUAAUGUUGAAAAAUUAGCGGAUGACUUGUGGCUGGGGGUGAAAGGCCAAUCAAACCGGGAGAUAGCUGGUUCUCCCCGAAAGCUAUUUAGGUAGCGCCUCGUGAAUUCAUCUCCGGGGGUAGAGCACUGUUUCGGCAAGGGGGUCAUCCCGACUUACCAACCCGAUGCAAACUGCGAAUACCGGAGAAUGUUAUCACGGGAGACACACGGCGGGUGCUAACGUCCGUCGUGAAGAGGGAAACAACCCAGACCGCCAGCUAAGGUCCCAAAGUCAUGGUUAAGUGGGAAACGAUGUGGGAAGGCCCAGACAGCCAGGAUGUUGGCUUAGAAGCAGCCAUCAUUUAAAGAAAGCGUAAUAGCUCACUGGUCGAGUCGGCCUGCGCGGAAGAUGUAACGGGGCUAAACCAUGCACCGAAGCUGCGGCAGCGACGCUUAUGCGUUGUUGGGUAGGGGAGCGUUCUGUAAGCCUGCGAAGGUGUGCUGUGAGGCAUGCUGGAGGUAUCAGAAGUGCGAAUGCUGACAUAAGUAACGAUAAAGCGGGUGAAAAGCCCGCUCGCCGGAAGACCAAGGGUUCCUGUCCAACGUUAAUCGGGGCAGGGUGAGUCGACCCCUAAGGCGAGGCCGAAAGGCGUAGUCGAUGGGAAACAGGUUAAUAUUCCUGUACUUGGUGUUACUGCGAAGGGGGGACGGAGAAGGCUAUGUUGGCCGGGCGACGGUUGUCCCGGUUUAAGCGUGUAGGCUGGUUUUCCAGGCAAAUCCGGAAAAUCAAGGCUGAGGCGUGAUGACGAGGCACUACGGUGCUGAAGCAACAAAUGCCCUGCUUCCAGGAAAAGCCUCUAAGCAUCAGGUAACAUCAAAUCGUACCCCAAACCGACACAGGUGGUCAGGUAGAGAAUACCAAGGCGCUUGAGAGAACUCGGGUGAAGGAACUAGGCAAAAUGGUGCCGUAACUUCGGGAGAAGGCACGCUGAUAUGUAGGUGAAGUCCCUCGCGGAUGGAGCUGAAAUCAGUCGAAGAUACCAGCUGGCUGCAACUGUUUAUUAAAAACACAGCACUGUGCAAACACGAAAGUGGACGUAUACGGUGUGACGCCUGCCCGGUGCCGGAAGGUUAAUUGAUGGGGUCAGCGCAAGCGAAGCUCUUGAUCGAAGCCCCGGUAAACGGCGGCCGUAACUAUAACGGUCCUAAGGUAGCGAAAUUCCUUGUCGGGUAAGUUCCGACCUGCACGAAUGGCGUAAUGAUGGCCAGGCUGUCUCCACCCGAGACUCAGUGAAAUUGAACUCGCUGUGAAGAUGCAGUGUACCCGCGGCAAGACGGAAAGACCCCGUGAACCUUUACUAUAGCUUGACACUGAACAUUGAGCCUUGAUGUGUAGGAUAGGUGGGAGGCUUUGAAGUGUGGACGCCAGUCUGCAUGGAGCCGACCUUGAAAUACCACCCUUUAAUGUUUGAUGUUCUAACGUUGACCCGUAAUCCGGGUUGCGGACAGUGUCUGGUGGGUAGUUUGACUGGGGCGGUCUCCUCCUAAAGAGUAACGGAGGAGCACGAAGGUUGGCUAAUCCUGGUCGGACAUCAGGAGGUUAGUGCAAUGGCAUAAGCCAGCUUGACUGCGAGCGUGACGGCGCGAGCAGGUGCGAAAGCAGGUCAUAGUGAUCCGGUGGUUCUGAAUGGAAGGGCCAUCGCUCAACGGAUAAAAGGUACUCCGGGGAUAACAGGCUGAUACCGCCCAAGAGUUCAUAUCGACGGCGGUGUUUGGCACCUCGAUGUCGGCUCAUCACAUCCUGGGGCUGAAGUAGGUCCCAAGGGUAUGGCUGUUCGCCAUUUAAAGUGGUACGCGAGCUGGGUUUAGAACGUCGUGAGACAGUUCGGUCCCUAUCUGCCGUGGGCGCUGGAGAACUGAGGGGGGCUGCUCCUAGUACGAGAGGACCGGAGUGGACGCAUCACUGGUGUUCGGGUUGUCAUGCCAAUGGCACUGCCCGGUAGCUAAAUGCGGAAGAGAUAAGUGCUGAAAGCAUCUAAGCACGAAACUUGCCCCGAGAUGAGUUCUCCCUGACUCCUUGAGAGUCCUGAAGGAACGUUGAAGACGACGACGUUGAUAGGCCGGGUGUGUAAGCGCAGCGAUGCGUUGAGCUAACCGGUACUAAUGAACCGUGAGGCUUAACCUU